rnacentral:rRNA from 1 species
CCAGCUCCAAUAGCGUAUAUUAAAGUUGUUGCGGUUAAAAAGCUCGUAGUUGGAUCUGUGUCCCGCGCCGUCGGUUCACCGCCUGUCGGUGUUAAACUGGCGUGUAUGCGGGACGUCAUGUCGGUGGUGGAACGGGGCUUCGUCAAACCGUAGGGGCAGUCCAGUUUUACUGCGACUCCCUGAAGGCUGGCGUAUGCUUCCGUCCGCCUUGUCAAUCCCGCCGCGGUGCUCUUCACCGAGUGUCGAGGCGGGCCGGCACGUUUACUUUGAACAAAUUAGAGUGCUUUAAGCAGGCUCUUUCCCGCCUGCAUACUGUGUGCAUGGAAUAAUGGAAUAGGACCUCGGUUCUAUUUUGUUGGUUUCCGGAAUCUGAGGUAAUGAUCAAUGGGGACAGGCGGGGGCAUUCGUAUUGCGACGUUAGAGGUGAAAUUCUUGGAUCGUCGCAAGACGGACCGAAGCGAAAGCAUUUGCCAAGUAUGUUCUCGUCGAUCAAGAACGAAAGUUAGAGGUUCGAAGGCGAUCAGAUACCGCCCUAGUUCUAACCAUAAACUAUGCCUGCCAGCGAUCCGCCGGCGUUCCUCCGAUGACCCGGCGGGCAGCUUCCGGGAAACCAGAGCUUUUGGGUUCCGGGGGAAGUAUGGUUGCAAAGCUGAAACUUAAAGGAAUUGACGGAAGGGCACCACCAGGAGUGGAGCCUGCGGCUUAAUUUUGACUCAACACGGGAAACCUCACCAGGCCCGGACACCGGAAGGAUUGACAGAUUGAGAGCUCUUUCUUGAUUCGGUGGGUGGUGGUGCAUGGCCGUUCUUAGUUGGUGGAGCGAUUUGUCUGGUUAAUUCCGAUAACGAACGAGACUCUAGCCUACUAACUAGACGUUUCCGGUAUCCACAAUCGUGCUACCGGCGACUAAAUUUCUUCUUAGAGGGACAGGCGGCUUCUAGCCGCACGAGACUGAGCAAUAACAGGUCUGUGAUGCCCUUAGAUGUCCUGGGCCGCACGCGCGCUACACUGAAGGAAUCAGCGUGUCUUCCCUGUCCGAAAGGACCGGGUAACCCGCUGAACCUCCUUCGUGCUAGGGAUUGGGGCUUGCAAUUGUUCCCCAUGAACGAGGAAUUCCCAGUAAGCGCGAGUCAUAAGCUCGCGUUGAUUACGUCCCUGCCCUUUGUACACACCGCCCGUCGCUACUACCGAUUGAAUGAUUUAGUGAGGUCUUCGGACUGGUGCGCGGAGGUGGCUUCUGUUGCUUCCGAUGUUGUCGGAAAGAUGACCAAACUUGAUCAUUUAGAGGAAGUAAAAGUCGUAACAAGGUUCCGA